GAUGAACGCUGGCGGCGUGCCUAAUACAUGCAAGUCGAGCGAACAGACGAGGAGCUUGCUCCUCUGACGUUAGCGGCGGACGGGUGAGUAACACGUGGAUAACCUACCUAUAAGACUGGGAUAACUUCGGGAAACCGGAGCUAAUACCGGAUAAUAUAUUGAACCGCAUGGUUCAAUAGAGAAAGACGGUUUUGCUGUCACUUAUAGAUGGAUCCGCGCCGCAUUAGCUAGUUGGUAAGGUAACGGCUUACCAAGGCAACGAUGCGUAGCCGACCUGAGAGGGCGAUCGGCCACACUGGAACUGAGACACGGUCCAGACUCCUACGGGAGGCAGCAGUAGGGAAUCUUCCGCAAUGGGCGAAAGCCUGACGGAUCAACGCCGCGUGAGUGAUGAAGGUCUUCGGAUCGUAAAACUCUGUUAUUAGGGAAGAACAAAUGUGUAAGUAACUAUGCACGUCUUGACGGUACCUAAUCAGAAAGCCACGGCUAACUACGUG
rnacentral:rRNA from 1 species